CUGGGUUAUCUAUUCUGCUCCAUUUGUCUAUGUUUCUGUUUUGGCUACUAUGGCAUUGUGGCAUAUUUUAAAGUCUGGUAGUGUGACGCCUCCAGCUUGUUCCUACUGCUCAGGAUUGCUUUGGCUAUUUGGGAUCUUUUGGGGUGACAUACAAAUUUUAGAAUUUUUCUUUCUUUUCUUUGAAGAAUGUCAUUGUUAUUUCGAUAGGGACAGUCUGGAUUUUAAACUGUGGUAUCUGGAAGUCAAUAAUGUGAAUUUCUCGGAUUUUGUAUCCAGCCUCAUCUACAAACCAUGUCUUUUAAAUGGCAACAGGAAGUUCAGAGAACUGCUCUAAUCAUAAGCUCUCCAGAGUCCAUCUGCAAUGCCAUGUAUUCACUAGACCUGAUCCUGAUCCCAUGAAAAGUCAGCAUACUGCCUAGAAAGAAAGGGCUCAUCAGUUUGACGCAAACGUCUCAGAUUGGGCAGCUACAAUUAGAGUAAAUACAACCUGAAACUGUUGUAUCCUAGAGACCAAGGCCAGCUCCCUAUGACUUUCCCUUGGUGUUGCUACAACUGCCAAAUAGGGAUGAUUACAAAUCUUGCUCCUUCCCACAAAAAGGCUUUUAUGAACUAUAAUGAUUAAAUAUUCACAAAGCAUUUUUGAAUUUGUGGUUCAGAUAUUCCUGGAAUAUCUCAAUGAAUUCAGAGUUUUGGGUUUAACGAUCAAAGAAUGAGGUCUAAUAAAUGAUGUAUUUCAGUUUAAGGCUUAAAUUAUAUCUUUCAGCCUCCUUGAUUCCUGGAAUUAUUCUUUAUAUUCAGUUUUUCUGCUAACAACUAUUUGUGUGGUAGUUUCUUUUGAGAAACCAUGUUACUGGAUUCUUAAAUAUCUUGUAAAGUGUACUCUGUCUUCUAGUAAAGUUCUUCAGUGGUGACUGGAUUAGAUCUGUCUGAAUAUUUAACAUCAGCGGUACCCUUCAUCGGUAGUAGUGAAAUGCAAGGCAGGAGAAAAAAUCCCUCUCACGGACUGCACAGCUAAGCCUUUUGCCUGGUACCAACUGUACCAGUGAAAUCAAACUCAACAAAUGCUUGCUAAUCUCCAUCUUUGUAUAUCAACAAAUAUAUCUUAAAACUUAGAUAAUUUGUAUAUGGUUUCUUUUACCCAAAUAGCCAUCAGAGAACUACGGGCAUAUCUCAGAGAUAUUUAAAGUUCCUUUCCAGGCCACUGCAAUAAAGCAAAUAUUACAAUAAAGCAUCACACACAUUCUUUUGGUUAAUUCUAACCUCAGUAGAGCCUAUGCUUGCCUAUGUAUUUACUUCUCUCUGUGUUCCUUGUAGUGCUUAGUAGAAUGUUUUCAUAUAGGAAUUCCAAAUAUAUUUCAAUUAUAUCAUAGAAUGAAUGUUAAAGAAUUCAGUCUGUCAAUCAUAAAACAAUUCCAAAUUAUGCUAAUUCAUAGUAAUUAAUUCCUUCUAAGGAGCUGAAAAGUUAAAAUACUCUAAUGUUAUUAUUUUACUUACUUAUUUAGCAGAUUUUCUUGAAUAUUUAUUAUACAAGCCAGGCAGUGGGAAUACAGCAGAGUAUUAAAAAUAAAAAGCGGUUUUGUUU
ensembl:lincRNA